rnacentral:rRNA from 1 species
AUGGACAAGGUGCUGGCCUUCUCCAUCCUGAGCGCGUCGCCGGCCGACGUCGUCCCCGGCGCUCGGUUCUCCUGGCAGCGGCAGGGGAGGAAGCUGCGGGACGACGGCCAGGCUAGAGCAGGGCAAGACGGGAAGCAGGGCGGUCUGCCGGCGGAGGCGGAGCAGCAGCCGGACAAGGGGAAAUCGCCGAUGUUGCGGCCGCGGUUCGCGCCGGAGUUCGACGGGAUCGACUGCUUCGGGACCAUCGUGUGCCACUGA